rnacentral:rRNA from 1 species
GAUGAACGCUGGCGGCGUGCCUAAUACAUGCAAGUCGAGCGAACAGACGAGGAGCUUGCUCCUCUGACGUUAGCGGAGGACGUGUGAGUAACACGUGGAUAACCUACCUAUAAGAGUGGGAUAACUUCGGGAAACGGGAGCUAAUCCCGGAUAAUAUAUUGAACCGCAUGGUUCAAUAGUGAAAGACGGUUUUGCGGUCACUUAUAGAUGGAUCCGCGCCGCAUUAGCUAGUUGGUAAGGUAACGGCUUACCAAGGCAACGAUGCGUAGCCGACCUGAGAGGGUGAUCGGCCACACUGGAACUGAGACACGGUCCAGACUCCUACGGGAGGCAGCAGUAGGGAAUCUUCCGCAAUGGGCGAAAGCCUGACGGAGCAACGCCGCGUGAGUGAUGAAGGUCUUCGGAUCGUAAAACUCUGUUAUUAGGGAAGAACAAAUGUGUAAGUAACUAUGCACGUCUUGACGGUACCUAAUCAGAAAGCCACGGCUAACUACGUG